CCUACGGGAGGCAGCAGUGGGGAAUAUUGCACAAUGGGGGAAACCCUGAUGCCGCGACGCCGCGUGAGUGAAGAAGUAUUUCGGUAUGUAAAGCUCUAUCAGCAGGGACGAACAUGACGGUACCUUACUAAGAAGCCCCGGCUAACUACGUGCCAGCAGCCGCGGUCAUCCGUAGGGGGCAAGCGUUAUCCGGAUUUACUGGGUGUAAAGGGAGCGUAGACGGCAGAGCAAGUCUGAAGUGAAAGCCCGCGGCGCAACUGCGGGACUGCUUUGGAAACUGCCCGGCUAGAGUGCUGGAGAGGUAAGCGGAAUUCCUAGUGUAGCGGUGAAAUGCGUAGAUAUUAGGAGGAACACCAGUGGCGAAGGCGGCUUACUGGACAGUAACUGACGUUGAGGCUCGAAAGCGUGGGGAGCAAACAGGAUUAGAUACCCAAGUAGUC
rnacentral:rRNA from 1 species